CACCUUGGACACCUGGUCUAGACUCCGUCCAAGUGGUAGGAGAAGCCAGCUUUGGUGGGGCAUUUAGGAGGAGCCUCUGCAGACACCUGUAGGGCCUGAUUUCACUGGGUGCCCACAAACAUUUGGCACUGUUCUGCACCCCAUGGGGCUUCAAUACUCUGCCUUCCCUGGGGAGGGCCUGAAGCACCCUCCUGGGUCCUGCGUGGAGUAGGGGCAACCCCCACAUUCUGCUACUCUUUGGAGGCCUCUGGAAGCAGCCCCAAGAGGUAUUGAGUGACCUUGCUCUAGUCCACCCUGGGCUCUACCUCCAAGCCCUCAAGACUCCUUCCCACCUGUAACCACUGGGCUUGCUUCUGCAAACUACUGCUUCGUAAUGACACAGACUAUAGACGUGCUUCUGAACUGCACUGACCGCCAGCUCCGUUGGGCAGAGCUCCCUCUCGGGCCGAGGUCCUCCCAGAGCAGUGUGGCAUCCUUGGACAGGAUCAGUUUCAAGCACGGGGAUGCGGCAUAAGCAUGAUGAACCCUGGCCUUCCCUGGGCAUCCACUCCACUAGGCAAAAACAAAUCGAGAGUACGACCGACCACAACAGCGCGUCAUGUGAUGACAGACGCUACAGUGAACCUCCAGGAGUUAGAGUCUGAAGGGGAGAAAAGACUGAGCCAACCGUGGGCAUUGACGUGAACCAGUCAGCAUUCUAAGAAGAAAGCCCCAUGGCACUGCCUGCACCUCCUCCCUCAGUCAAGAGGGGCAGAAAGAAGCACAUAGAAACCCACAAAUCCACCAGAUAUUCAGAAACAUUUAGAAAUUUCUACUCAAAACAUUACUGAAGGGAAUAUUUCAGCUUAGGAGAGAGAGAAUAUCUUUCCACCUGAAAAUUCUUAUUCUUCAAAAAUGAUUGUCUAUUAGAGAUAUUAUAUCUGAUUCUAUCAUGGUGAUAACAUUUAAAACAUUGUUAUUAAAAACAAUACAUGCAAAUCAGAGAAAAUGUGAAGCGCACAAAAUAGUGUAAAUGAAGCAUUGAAAUUGCCCAUAAUGUACCAUCCAGAGACCAUCACUGGUAAGAUUUGGG
rnacentral:lncRNA from 1 species